CUGUAUGUUCCAUGGUUGUAAAAUCUAAACCGUUGACACGCGAUGCUUAUUGUCUUGUGUUGUCAUUGUUAACCGAGCGCCUUCGCUGAAGCUUGCGCGAUCGCUCAUACGAGAUGGGCGCAUUAUGUGAAGCGUGCAGAUAUGUGUGUUGCUGGUUGACAGGCAAAAUGUCAGGAAAAACUAAAGCGCGGUUCCGUGCGUCUGGAUAAUUGCGCCUAUGCAGCUAUUUCGUCAUCCGCUUAAGUUGUGCUUAGUGUGCCUGAUGUGUUUAAGAUAUGCAUCGUGUGCGCGGUAUCAAAUGGUCAGAGCAGUACAUUAAAUCGACUAAUCCGCAGACAGUGGCUAUGCGUCAAUAAUAUCUAGCAACAAUACAUUGAGUUGUGUGUAUUUUAGCCAGCAUGUAAUAGCCUGUAUAAGGUGCCGUGCGCGGGGGGCUGUAUUUAUUUAUUCGAUUUAGCCCGCGGAUGGCGCGUCCUAUAGAAGCCACAAUAAGUGUCAUAUGAGUAACGGCAAUGCAGGUGAUUGAACCUAACUAUUUUGCGUCCAUGUAGCUCAGGUAUUUAAUCGAAGCAGGUCUUCGCUAUGGGCUAGCUUUAUACAGGUUAUAGUGUAAUAAACAUUAGGCAAUAACUGUGAACCAACCCUCAUGGGGUAAUGCAAAGCAGGAAACCAUAGGAACAAGGUGUAUCUUAAGCUGGGUCUAUGCAAAAGAGUAUAUCUUAUGUGCAACGGCUUAUGCACAAGGUAACAGUAGCGUGGUUAGC